rnacentral:sRNA from 1 species
GUGCUAGUGACCUAAUACGGUAUAUAUGGAGUCAGUAAAUUACAUAUGGGGUGAGAGUGACCCCAUAUAUACCGUAUUAGGUCACUAGCACACUA